rnacentral:SRP_RNA from 2 species
GCUGGGCGUGGUGGCGCGCGCCUGUAAUCCCAGCUACUCAGGAGGCUGAGGCAGGAGAAUCGCUUGAACCCAGGAGGCAGAGGUUUCAGUGAGCUGAGAUUGUGCCACUGCACUGCAGCCUGGGUGACAAAGCGAGAUUCCGUCUCAA